CGGGUAAAGCAGCGGCCAGCGGGAGCCCUGAGUGAGGCGCUGCCUCUCCCGCUGAAGCGGGUUCCAAGGCCACCGUGAGGGGGACCAUCCAUCCAGGAGAGUACUGGGCAGGCUGCAAAUGUCUGUGUUAAAACAGCUCUGCUGGGCUAAGACAGGACAGAAGCAGACAGCAGGUGGAUGAGACACAAUUUCCUAUCCAGCAGAACCUGCAGCAAGCUCCACAGCACCCUCCACGGGCUCAGUCUUGCUCCCGGGAAGAUGGUUAAUUCCAUCAGCUCCUUCUGGCCGGCAGCAGGAAGAGUGGCCCUGUGUGUGCCAGGCCCUGCAGUUUCUCCUCUCAGCUGGUGUCUCCAGUGAGGGACCUGAGUCAUCGCACACAUGAGCCUGUGCUCAGCCUGCACAUCUCCCGCCUCCCACCAGCUGCUCCUCAACUGCCAGGGCCAGACUGUGGCAAAAUCUCACUCUUCUGCCGAUGCUGGGGUUUCCCUCGUGUCUGGAAGGUGGUGUGCUUGGUGGCCUGAGCGCUGCAGUGAAUCCAUGUUUCCCUCCCAGCACCCUGUUCUGUCCUCCAACUUGGCCGACAGCUCUGGCCAGGGACGCAGCCCAGCUGGUGCCCACCCCGCACUCUGUCCAUUUCAUAAGAGCCCUCGGUUUCCUCACUUCCCUCAGAUUUUGCCAAGAGAAUGGUCCUGGUGUGGCCCAGAAAGGCCAGCGGGGUGCAGCCUGGGACUUAGAGCAGAGGCGGCUCUGGUGGGGAGAAAGUAGCUCUCCCAGCCUAGCCCCACUGGUGGGAGGCACCUCCUGGCUCCAGGCCAUCUUUUGUCUCAGUCCUAGGUAAGAAAAACACAAACAAAAGCCAGUCCCAAGGCGCUCGAGAAGCAGGAGGCCGUUCCCUGACAGCAACAUGCUGCGUGCACAGACACACGGGUGGACAGGAGGCAGAGCUCGGGGUUGCUGCGGAGCGGGCAGGACCCGCCGGGCAGCCGUGCACGGUUGUCGUCCUCAGCGGCAGGAGCCAGUUUGUUGCUCAGGGCCUUGUCUUUUUACAAAGAGCCCCAGGCCCCGGGGGCUUCUCUGGGUGCCUCUUUGCUGCCAUGUCUGCACGCGGGCGGAGAGCAGACCAGGCUACCGACCCACUCGCUUUGCUGUCUUCACGUGGAAAAGCCAGUGUCAUAGCCCCAAAGGAGGGGAAACUGUACUGAUUUGGGGAGCCUCUAUGUUGAUUUCAAAACAGAUUGUCUCCUGUGUUCUCAAAGACUGGAAGCGAACCCCACAACCGCCUUAGGCCACAAAAGCUUUAUCCUUUCUAAUUAGCAUCCCUGUGACCUGCUCUGCGCCCUGCAGAUAUUUUGCUCAGCCAGCCAGAAGGAGGGAGGCCAGACACCAGCCCCCACAGACCUGCGGCUGCGACCCCCUGCCUGGGGACGAUGGGGUCGGGGUCCAGUAGCUGCCCCAGAAACAAGUGGGGCUGCAGGAGGCUGAUGGUGAGCUUGGAGGUUGGCAGAAUUCUAAAUCUGGGCACUGCAGGGUCCCCACAGGUCACGACCCUACUCUGCUCCACCCAGGCUCCGGAGGACCUGAGCAGGAACCUCUGCAGGGGGGGCCCGGGGCUCCCUGUCCUCUCAGCAGCCGGCAGUGCUCCCUGACAGCCCGGGCCUCUCCCUCCAGUAGUUCGGUAGUUUGCUGUCGCCAACGUGGCUGGGCCUGGGACAGGCUCCUCCUCUCCCUCCAGAAGCCAGGCAGUCCCUCCUGCCUCAGUUUCUCAGACUAGGCCGCCUCUCCCAUCGCGAGACACUGAAGACCCUCAGCUGUUUCCAUCUGCCCAGUCUGACUGCUGGAUCUCCCUCUGUGUGCGUUGGUUUGCUGUGUUCUUGCUACUCGCCCUUGGAUAAGAUUUCUUCUCUACUCAUGAAGCUGCGUGUCCUGGAGGGCAGGGCCGCACCUCACAUGCAUGUUGCCCACAUAGCUCAGCAACAGAUGCUCUCACGCUUGUUAAAAGUAAAACCAGGCCGGGCGCAGUGGCUCACGCCUGUAUUCCCAGCACUUUGGGAGGCCGAGGUGGGUGGAUCACAUGAGGUCAGGAGUUUGAGACUAGCCUGACCAACAUGGAGAAAUCCCGUCUCUACUAAAAAUACAAAAAAUUAGCUGGGCGUGGUGGCACAUGCCUGUAAUCCCAGCUACUCGGAGGCAGGAGAAUUACUUGAACCCAGGAGGCGGAGGUUGCGGUGAGCCAAGAUCACGCCAUAGCAAUUGCACUCCAGCCUGGGCAACAAGAGCAAAACUCUGUCAAAAAA
rnacentral:lncRNA from 1 species